GAUUCCCCUAGUAACUGCGAGUGAAGCGGGAAAAGCUCAAAUUUAAAAUCUGACAGUUGUUUUGGCUGUCCGAGUUGUAAUCUAGAGAAGUGUCUACCCGCGCUGGACCGUGUACAAGUCUCCUGGAAUGGAGCAUCAUAGAGGGUGAGAAUCCCGUCUUUGACAUGGAUCUACCAGGGCUUUGUGGUGCACUCUCAAAGAGUCGAGUUGUUUGGGAAUGCAGCUCAAAAUGGGUGGUAAAUGCCAUCUAAAGCUAAAUAUUGGCGAGAGACCGAUAGCGAACAAGUACCGUGAGGGAAAGAUGAAAAGAACUUUGGAAAGAGAGUUAAACAGUACGUGAAAUUGCUGAAAGGGAAACGCUUGAAGUCAGUCGCAUCGACUGGAAAUCAACCUUGCUUUUGCAUGGUGUACUUUCUGGCUGAUGGGUCAGCAUCAAUUUUGAUUGCUGGAUAAAGGCUUGGGGAAUGUGGCAUCUUUGGAUGUGUUAUAGCCCCUGGCUGCAUACGGCAGUUGGGAUUGAGGAACUCAGCAUGCCGCAAGGCCGGGUCUUUUUGACCACRUAUAUGUGCUUAGGAUGCUGGCAUAAUGGCUUUAAUCGACCCGUCUUGAAACACGGACCAAGGAGUCUAACAUGCAUGCGAGUGUUUGGGUGGAAAACCCAUGCGCGCAAUGAAAGUGAAAGUUGAGAUCCCUGUCGUGGGGAGCAUCGACGCCCAGACCAGACCUUUUGUGACGGAUCUGCGGUAGAGCAUGUAUGUUGGGACCCGAAAGAUGGUGAACUAUGCCUGAAUAGGGUGAAGCCAGAGGAAACUCUGGUGGAGGCUCGURGCGAUUCUGACGUGCAAAUCGAUCGUCAAAUUUGGGUAUAGGGGCGAAAGACUAAUCGAACCAU
rnacentral:rRNA from 1 species